rnacentral:rRNA from 1 species
CCUACGGGAGGCAGCAGUGGGGAAUAUUGCACAAUGGGGGAAACCCUGAUGCAGCGACGCCGCGUGAGUGAAGAAGUAUUUCGGUACGUAAAGCUCUAUCAGCAGGGAAGAAAAUGACGGUACCUGACUAAGAAGCCCCGGCUAACUACGUGCCAGCAGCCGCGGUAAUACGUAGGGGGCAAGCGUUAUCCGGAUUUACUGGGUGUAAAGGGAGCGUAGGCGGCAGCGCAAGUCUGGAGGGAAAUCCCAUGGCUUAACCAUGGAACUGCUUUGGAAACUGUGCAGCUAGAGUGCAGGAGAGGUAAGCGGAAUGCCUAGUGUAGCGGUGAAAUGCGUAGAUAUUAGGAGGAACACCAGUGGCGAAGGCAGCUUACUGGACUGUAACUGACGUUGAGGCUCGAAAGCGUGGGGAGCAAACAGGAUUAGAUACCCCUGUAGUC